UUUCUCUGUAUGAGGUGGGGAAUAUGGCAUCAGGUUACUUGAAAAGGUCUCAAAAGAACUAGAUUCUACCAUCAACUUGCAAUAUGACCUUAAAUAAGUCAUCCCUUUUACCUCAGUUUCCCCAUUUGUAAAAUGAAAAGUUUAGACUCAUUCUGUAAAGUCCCUUCCAGGUCUGACAUUCUAUUCUAAGUCAGUCUGAAGUCAAUCUGUUAUUUCGUUGCUUUUCUCUUUUCCAGCAUCCACCCCAUUUUUCUACCUCUUCCUUAUCUGCUGUUUGGAUAAUAGCCUGCUACAGACUGUAAAACCUGAGAUUCUCCCCCGAGAGGAAUGAAGAGGAGAGUUGGCAAGCAAAGAUGAAUGGAAUUCCUGGGAUGAGGAAACUGAGGCAAACAGAAGUUAAGUGACUUGCCCAGGGUCACACAGCUAGUAAUAAAGGCAAAGACUGAAGCCAAGCCAACUGACAUGAUGACCUCACCUGACAAGUGUAGACCAUAUGCACCAUUUGCAAUCGCACUUUCCUGCUGAGAAGAUGAAGCUUGUACGUGCCCAUCAUGGACCUCUCCAUUGCCCUUUGAGUGAAAAAUAUCAGACCUUAUUAUGAACAAGGAAGGAUUGGUAACCAAGAGAACAUCACUAAGUACUGAGCAGUAUGCCUGCUUU
rnacentral:lncRNA from 1 species